GAAAUAUCAAAUAAAAGAAGUUUCACUGCAUUUUUCGCAUUUUGACAGUUCAUGCAAUUGUAGAAUUGGAUCAAAUAUUAAAGAUUAUUUGGGUGAAGGAGUACUUCGCUUUUCGUUCAAUCAUUAUUCGGUUUGUUUACAAGAAUCUAUACCCAGUGCUUGAAGAAGUUCAGAGGCUUGAUUCACUAAUUCGAGAGUUGCUCAUCCACAAAACAAAAAUUGAUUCUACAUGAUGUCACAACCAAACACCUGCUGAAACGAUAAGAAAUGCAACACUUGAUUUAUGCUUCCUUAUUAACAAAUUAUGGAGUGAUCAAGCCUAAAAAAUUAUAUGAUAGUAACAAUGAUGAUCCUCCAAGACCCCGGCCAAGUUAUGUACCACCUCUCGAUAAAUCAGAAAUUAUUAGUUCAGAAUAGUUUAAAGUAUGGUGA